rnacentral:rRNA from 1 species
UAUGAAGGGGGCUAGCGUUGUUCGGAAUUACUGGGCGUAAAGCGCGUGUAGGCGGUUGUCCAAGUUGGAUGUGAAAGCCUUGAGCUUAACUCAAGAAAUGCAUUCAGGACUGGAUGACUAGAGGACCGGAGAGGAUAGUGGAAUUCCCAGUGUAGUGGUGAAAUACGUAGAGAUUGGGAAGAACACCAGUGGCGAAGGCGGCUAUCUGGACGGUUUCUGACGCUAAGACGCGAAAGCGUGGGGAGCAAACAGG